rnacentral:rRNA from 1 species
CCUACGGGUGGCAGCAGUGGGGAAUUUUGCGCAAUGCUCGUAAGAGUGACGCAGCGACGCCGCGUGAAUGACGAAGGCCUUCGGGUUGUAAAGUUCUUUCGACAGGGAAGAAAAUGCCUAUAAGUAACUGUGUAUGUAUUGACGGUACCUGUAUAAGCAGCGCCGGCUAACUUCGUGCCAGAAGCCGCGGUAAUACGGAGGGGGCGAGCGUUGUUCGGAGGGACUGGGCGUAAAGAGCACGUAGGCGGGGUUGUACUUCAUUAGGCAAUGACUUGUGCUCAACUUUAGUAAGGAUAGUGAUACUAUAAUACGAGAGUAUCAGAGAGGAAUGCAGAAUUCCUGGUGUAGCGGUGAAAUGCGUAGAUAUCAGGAGGAAUACCGUUAGCGAAGGCGGCAAUCUGGCUGGAAUCUGACGCUGAGGUGCGAAAGCGUGGGUAGCAAACAGGAUUAGAUACCCUUGUAGUC